rnacentral:rRNA from 1 species
ACGAACGCUGGCGGCGUGGAUAAGGCAUGCAAGUCAAGGGGGCCCGCAAGGGCAACCGGCGAACGAGGUAGUAACACGUAGGAAUCUCCCCCACAGUCUGGUAUAGCUCAUCGAAAGAUGGGGUAGUCCCAGAUGGUCUCGUAAGAGUAAAACAGCAAUGCGCUGUGGGAAGAGCCUGCGGGAUAUCAGCUAGUUGGUAAGGUAAUGGCUUACCAAGGCAAUGACGUCUAGGGGAGGUGAGAGCCUGACCCCCACCGAUGGGACUGCGACACGGCCCAUACACCUACGGGUGGCAGCAGCCGAGAAUAUUCCGCAAUGGACGAAAGUCUGACGGAGCGACGCCGCGUGGUGGAUGAAGUCCUUCGGGAUGUAAACACCUUUUCCGGGGGAGAAAGUUUUGAUGUUACCCCGGGAAUAAGAGGUUGCUAAACUCGU